rnacentral:lncRNA from 1 species
GACAAGUAGCUAAUAUUUAAAUUGACUGUUUUAAGUAACUUCCAUAUCUUUUUUUCCUCAGUGACUCUACAAGGAAUUGACAGUUCCACUUUUAAAGGAUUUUUACUGCAGGCCCGAGCAGUUAGUGGAGAUGGUACUGUUGGUACUUUUCAAAUCAUAGAUCCAAACACACAAGGUCUUUUGUGUAACCAAGUUGAGAAUUCUUCAAUGAGUCACACAAAUCGCAACAGCAAGCAAAAUGUAACCGCAAUUUGGGUAGCACCAUCAGGCACAGGAAAUGUACAAUUCAGAGCAACUGUUGUUCAGAAUGUGAGUGUUUUCUGGGCUGAUGUCAGAAGUCAAAUUCUUGUGUCUUCCAGCUCCUCUGUUGACUCAGUAAGUUGUUUCAUUUUGACAUGAUUGUGAAUAUAUUGUUUCACAAAUACACAUAACAGUGAAUCAUAUG